UACAGGGGGUGCAAACGUUGCUCGGAAUUAUUGGGCGUAAAGAGCGUGUAGGCGGCCAGGUAGGUCUGGUGUGAAAACUCGAGGCUUAACCUUGAGAUGUCAUCGGAAACCAUUUGGCUAGAGUCCGGAAGAGGAAAGUGGAAUUCCUGGUGUAGCGGUGAAAUGCGCAGAUAUCAGGAAGAACACCAAUGGCGAAAGCAGCUUUCUGGGACGGUACUGACGCUGAGACGCGAAAGCGUGGGGAGCGAACAGG
rnacentral:rRNA from 1 species